GCCCGCUGCUGUGGCGUGAGCCUGUUGUCCCCGCUACUCAGGAGGCUGAGGCAGGAGGCUCACUUGAGCCCAGUUCUGGGUUGCAGUUUCCUAUGCCAAUUGGGUGCCCACACUAAGUUCAGCAUCAAUAUGGUGGCCUCCCAAGAGCUGGGGGACUACUAGGUUGCCUCAGGAGGGGGAACCAGCCAGGUUGGAAAUGGAGCAGAUCAAAACUCCCUUAAUGAUCAAUAGUGGAAUCGCUCCUAUGAAUAGCCACUGCCCUCCAGCCUAGGCAACAUAGCAAGCCCUAUCUCU
rnacentral:SRP_RNA from 1 species